CACAGAUUUGCAUGUUCUCAGAAAAUGUUAUUUGCCUCUUAGAGAAAAAAAAAGAGAGCAAAAUACAUAUGAGAAAAUGCAAAGAGUUACUAGAAAUUC